GAGGGUGUGGCUCAGUGGUAAGAGUACGUGCUUAGCAUGUGUGAGGUCCUGGGUUCACUCCCCAGUACCUCCA
rnacentral:tRNA from 1 species